rnacentral:rRNA from 1 species
GUGAGGAAUAUUGCGCAAUGGACGAAAGUCUGACGCAGCCAUGCCGCGUGAAGGAUUGACGGCCCUAUGGGUUGUAAACUUCUUUUGUAUAGGAAUAAACCCUCGUUCGUGAACGAGGCUGAAGGUACUAUAAGAAUAAGCACCGGCUAACUCCGUGCCAGCAGCCGCGGUAAUACGGAGGGUGCAAGCGUUAUCCGGAUUUAUUGGGUUUAAAGGGUCCGUAGGCGGAUCGUUAAGUCAGUGGUGAAAUCCUACCGCUCAACGGUAGAACUGCCAUUGAUACUGGCGAUCUUGAGUAUGUAUGAAGUUGGCGGAAUGUGUGGUGUAGCGGUGAAAUGCUUAGAUAUCACACAGAACACCGAUUGCGAAGGCAGCUGACUAAUACACAACUGACGCUGAGGGACGAAAGUGUGGGGAUCAAACAGGAUUAGAUACCCUUGUAGUCC